GUUGUCCUUUGUUCUCUGCUGAAUUCUUAGCACCUGUAACCUCUCCGGAGUGAGCGCUUAGAAGUACAGGUUGAAUGAAUGAAUUAAAAGCCCCAGGUUUUUAGGAUACCUUAUGUGAAGCUAGAACAUUGUUUGGAAAAAGUGAGACCCUGAAUCCUGAAAUGGGAACAUAUGGGAAGAUACGGUGGGCUCCAAGUACCCUAAACUCCCAACCCUAUGAAAAUAUGCUACUCAGAUCAUCUGCUGCAGAGAGCAUCAUUGGCUGGUGGACCAAAUUGCUGCCUCCCUGGAUCCUCCACCCUCACACUGAGGCCAUGCUUCUCAUGGGCUACCCCUAACCAAUGACUGAGCAUGCCAGAAGCACCAAGGUAGUCCCAUUCUGGCAAGAAGUGAAACUCCUCCUCUAGGCAACUUCAACUUGAGGACUUCCUGCUGGACUGGCGAAACCUUUAUUUGAAUUGUGCUACAGUCCAAGAUUCUUCUUACACCAAUCUUCUUUCCUUCCCUUAUUCCUUCCACAGAUAUCAGACAGGCAUCACAGUCUAAAGCUCUCUCUAUCUUUUCCCAUUCCUUCCUUCAGUAAAGCUCAAGAACAUCUAUUCCCAUCUUGCCAUUGCUUCUUGGCACACCUGAAUUAAUGCAGCCUUCCUCGUCAGAGAAAAUCUCCCUUCAUGAUGAGGCUUUUUCCAUCUUUCAUGAAGACUCUGUAAUGUUAUUCUUUGUGGGAGUAACCUUACUGGAGGUAGGGGAAAACAAUUCUCUUCAUUCUUUGCUCCUAACAUCCCUCAUUGCCUUGAAUUCUAUAGUCAAUAAGGUGCUAGAGACAGGUUGUACCAACUCACAAAGGUCAACUGACAAAUUUUCAAGAAUUUAGUGAGCUGAUUGCUAAACACAACCAUUAUUAAAACAAAUUAUAUAUACUUACAGUUAAAUAAAUGAUGUGAAAAACAAAGAUAAUUACAAACUCAUCACUUCCUAGUUGACAGCUUUUUAUUAUUAUCUAUGCUGCUCAGAUUAUUUAUAUGUAUUAUAACUGGGUGUUGGAAAUACUCUAUAAUGGUGUGUCUUUGAAUUUUGGAGACCAGAUUUAGACAUGCUGUUUCAGCUAGUUUUUUUAAU
rnacentral:lncRNA from 1 species